GUCCAGCAGCGGCGGUAAUACGUAGGGAGCGAGCGUUGUCCGGAAUCAUUGGGCGUAAAGAGCAUGUAGGUGGAUCAAUUAGUCUGCUGUGAAAGUCGAAGGCUCAACCUUCGAAAGCCGGUGGAUACUGUUGAUCUAGAGUACGGAAGAGGCGAGUGGAAUUCCUGGUGUAGCGGUGGAAUGCGCAGAUAUCAGGAGGAACACCAAUAGCGAAGGCAGCUCGCUGGGACGUUACUGACACUGAGAUGCGAAAGCGUGGGAGCAAACAGGAUUAGAUACCCUGGUAGUCCACGCCCGUAAACGAUGGGUACUAGAUGUGGGAGGUGUCGACUCCUUCCGUAUCGUAGCUAACGCAC
rnacentral:rRNA from 1 species